UACGUAGGCAGCGAGCGUUGUUCGGAGUUACUGGGGGUAAAGGGUGUGUAGGCGGUUGUUUAAGUUUGGUGUGAAAUCUCCCGGCUCAACUGGGAGGGUGCGCCGAAUACUGAAUGACUUGGAGUGCGGGAGAGGAAAGUGGAAUUCCUGGUGUAGCGGUGAAAUGCGUAGAUAUCAGGAGGAACACCGGUGGUGUAGACGGCUUUCUGGACCGUAACUGACGCUGAGACACGAAAGCGUGGGUAGCAAACAGG
rnacentral:rRNA from 1 species